CUGACCUAGCGGCGGACGGGUGAGUAAUGCUUAGGAAUCUGCCUAUUAGUGGGGGACAACAUCUCGAAAGGGAUGCUAAUACCGCAUACGUCCUACGGGAGAAAGCAGGGGACCUUCGGGCCUUGCGCUAAUAGAUGAGCCUAAGUCGGAUUAGCUAGUUGGUGGGGUAAAGGCCUACCAAGGCGACGAUCUGUAGCGGGUCUGAGAGGAUGAUCCGCCACACUGGGACUGAGACACGGCCCAGACUCCUACGGGAGGCAGCAGUGGGGAAUAUUGGACAAUGGGGGGAACCCUGAUCCAGCCAUGCCGCGUGUGUGAAGAAGGCCUUUUGGUUGUAAAGCACUUUAAGCGAGGAGGAGGCUACCGAGAUUAAUACUCUUGGAUAGUGGACGUUACUCGCAGAAUAAGCACCGGCUAACUCUGUGCCAGCAGCCGCGGUAAUACAGAGGGUGCAAGCGUUAAUCGGAUUUACUGGGCGUAAAGCGCGCGUAGGUGGCCAAUUAAGUCAAAUGUGAAAUCCCCGAGCUUAACUUGGGAAUUGCAUUCGAUACUGGUUGGCUAGAGUAUGGGAGAGGAUGGUAGAAUUCCAGGUGUAGCGGUGAAAUGCGUAGAGAUCUGGAGGAAUACCGAUGGCGAAGGCAGCCAUCUGGCCUAAUACUGACACUGAGGUGCGAAAGCAUGGGGAGCAAACAGGAUUAGAUACCCUGGUAGUCCAUGCCGUAAACGAUGUCUACUAGCCGUUGGGGCCUUUGAGGCUUUAGUGGCGCAGCUAACGCGAUAAGUAGACCGCCUGGGGAGUAC
rnacentral:rRNA from 1 species